rnacentral:lncRNA from 1 species
GGGAAAUGUAGUUCUCCAGGAGGACCCCGCCGCGCGCCUGCGCCUUCCGGGAGGGAGGCGGGGCGGUGACAAGGUCUACACCGCCGGAGGGGAGAUGAAUAGGAUUUAUCAUAGCGUUUGGUUAGUGUCGAAUGCGACCCUUGAAGUGCUAAUGGUUCGGAGGGCGCCGGUCCUAGUUACAUUAAAUACUCAGCUACUGCAAGAAGCAUGGCUCCUCAAAGGUAACCUCUUCUGUAGUUUUACGCUUUGACUAAAUCAAGUGAGCAAUCUGUGUUUUGUUUUUGUUUUUUUUUCUUUCUUCCACUUCCUGGUACUUCAUAACUACAACAGAGUUGAUUUAUUUCUGAUAAAUUGUGGUGCCAUAGUAACCAAAAUCACACUUUCCUGAAGAUUGAUUUAUGGUACCAUGUGCAUCCUAAAAGCAUACAUUGUUCAAUGAUGAUUGCAAACCGUGUUUUCUGAAGCUACAAUUCUCAGAAGCACCAUGAAUAUGCUUUCUUCUCUGGGCACCCUCUCAAUUCUUUUUUUCUUUUUCUUUUUAGGGCUGCAUUCGUGACAUACAGAGGUUCCCAGGCUAGGGGUUGAAUCAGAGCUACAGCUGCCGGCCUACACCGCAGCCCUAGCAACUCGGGAUCCAAGCCGUGUCUAUGACCUACACCACAGCCAGAUCCUUAACCACUGAGCAAGGCCAGGGACUGAACCCGAGUUUUCAUGAAUACUAGUCGGGUUCUUUAACUGCUGAGCCACCGAGAGAAUGCCUCAAUUCAUUUUUUUGUUUUAUUGAAAUAGAGUUGAUGUACAGUAUUAUGUUAGUUUCAGUAUAUUGAUUCAUUUUUUGCUGUAUUUGAUCAAGAAAAAGUUUGCUGGAGUUCCCGUCUUUGCUCAGUGGUUAACAAAUCUGACUAGCAUCCAUGAGGACGCAGGUUCGAUCCCUGGCAUUGUUCUAUGGGUUAAGGCUCUGGUGUUGCCAUGAGCUGUGGUGUGUGUCACAGACGGGGCUUGGAUCCUGAGUUGCUGGGGCUGUGGUGUAGGCUGACAACUACAGUUCCAAUUUGACCCCUAGCCUGGGAACCUCCAUAUGCCAAGGGUGCAGCCCUAAAAAAAAGAAUAGAAAACGUUUGCUGUAGACCAUGUCAGCCUUAAAAGAAAGAAGGUGGUAGAUUAACUUCAUCAUCAUAACAAGACUCAAAAUCUAGGGGCCUUGGGAAAAGGUACCCUGGAAAAAAGGAGAUUUACACGCAUGGGGAUGG